AAUAAGAUGGCAGAAGUCAUGCACUGACUUUAAGCGUCAACUAUAGGUUAAAACCUUCUUAUUU
rnacentral:tRNA from 1 species